rnacentral:rRNA from 1 species
GCACAAGCAGUGGAGUAUGUGGUUUAAUUCGACGCAACGCGAAGAACCUUACCAAGUCUUGACAUCCUGCGACGAUGCUGGAAACAGCAUUUUCCUUCGGGACGCAGAGACAGGUGGUGCAUGGUUGUCGUCAGCUCGUGUCGUGAGAUGUUGGGUUAAGUCCCGCAACGAGCGCAACCCUUAUUGCCAGUUACUACGUUAAGAGGACUCUGGCGAGACUGCCGUUGACAAAA